rnacentral:lncRNA from 1 species
CUACUACAUCAAUCAGACCACAAGGUGCCCUUUCAGGAAAGUAAUGGAGUAUAAUCAACCUAACUUCAUUGAUCUACAAGGACUACUGAAAAUUAUAAAACUUUCUUUGGGAUUCUAACAUGCCAGAAACCACUAGAAAAAGAAGUUUGAUAUCUCAGAGGUUCUCCUCAUCGUGGUAUAGAGACCAAAAUGAUACUUUCAAAAAGCCUGACAGGUUUCUCCGGAAAAGUGACCAUCCAUGGAAUGAAUGAAAUGUUCCCUUUCUAUUCCAGGGAUUGCAGUGGCAAAGCUAGGCUAGGUCUUGGAGGCUGGUGUAAGGCGAAGCGGGUGAAGGCAGGAGGCUGAUGGAGAGACUGAGGGGAAUAAAAGCCGAAAUGGAUUCACGGUGCCUUGGAUGGAGGACGAGAGGGGAAUUGCAAGCUCCUUCAACUCGUUCUGUCCGGUGAGAAGUGAUCAAGCUUGGGCUGACAAGAGGCUCAGGGAGCCCUCACGUUCUUUCGCUUUUUUACCUGCCAAUCAAACUGCUACAAGACAACACCCUGAUCUGGCAUGGACAUGGUACAGACAGGCAUGCAGAAGUAACUAGACGUCCAACACAUGCCAAGGUCUUGCGGGCCCAGGAUUUCGAACAAAAGAAAACUCGGUAACGUGACUGUAAAUCAAGGGCAUUUGAGACCAUAGACGCGCGCACCACUGCAAGGGUUAAUUGGAGGAGAGGGAAGAGAGAGGCUCCACCUUGCAGUCUGUGUGAACUUCGGCCAGAAAAAGAGCUGGAGCUCCAGCCGCCGCCGGUGGGAGCCCUGCAGUCCGCGGCACGCGGUCCCUUGUUGUGGGGCAGGUGUGGCGCCGGGUAGAGGCGGGGCGCAACCUGGAAACUGCCGCCUGAGCUGUGGCCCGCGCCCUGCCUACCCUUUGGCGCAUCUGUUUCUUUAUUGCCUGAAAGCCAUCCGACGCGUUGAAGGCGCGAUUAUCGACAAUUUGUCAGCCCGAUUUUGUCGCUUGCAAUAACUUUUGGUGAAGUUUCACUCUCAGGCCCUUGAGUUUCGGGAUGAGGAAAUGUGGUAUGAGAGCAUUGUCCUGUGUUUGGCUUCUCAUUUCCACAGGACCCAGGCAGGCAGAAGAAGGGAAAAGAAAGUUAAUCCGACUGCAGUCACUCUGGCACACAAGCCAUGGGGAAACGGGAGAGAAACUUGUUCCUUCUCCUACAAAACUCUCCCCUUCCCCCUCAAGCCCCUCCCCCCACCAGGUCCUUUUUAAUAGAUCAGUCCCUCAUCUCCCCCCCCCUCCACACACGUAUUCUUGGGCCCACAAUUCUCUUGAGCAACCUAGGACUGAGUUUUUGUGUUUUGUUUGUUUUGCUUGCUUUUUCCUUUGUGUUUGUGGAUGUGGAUUGUUUCUCAGGGACCAGGGGCCAGGACCGCAGCUCUAAACCUGAACCGUUCACCUUCAUGAUCCCUUUCUUCCCCUCUUCUUGAUUGGUGGCUGUCGUGGCCAAGACCAUGCCCUUUCCUGAGCAUGGAGCAGUGGGGCAGCUGCUCUGAAGCAGCUGCUGUGCCUUACCCCUCUUUUCUCAAUCAUUAAAAUUCAAUUUCAAAAUUUCUGUCUUUAACAAUUUCCUAAGGAGACUAUGAAGAAUGCCAAAAGAGUGGGCCUUUUUUCAAGUGGUCAUGUUUCAGCAAAAGGCAGGCACAGUCCAAGUUGCCCUAGGUUGUGCCCUUAUAGGAGCAGGGCAGUGGAUGUUGUGUAAAAUGGAGUGCUGUGCCCACCUUGAACGAGAGACGAGCUCUGGCAGGUCAAGAACCUGGGGAGAGCAACUCCAGCUUUUCCAUCCACAUCACCCCUGCAGCUUGAUGGAGCACAGCACCAAGCAGGAAGUUCUCAUUUUUUUUUUUUUUUUAAUGUCCACACCCAUGACAUACAGAAGUUUCUGGCCCAGGGAUUGAAUCUAAGUUUCAGCUAUGACCUAUGUGGCAGCUAUAGCAAUGCCAGAUCCCUUAACCCGCUGCACCAAGCUGGGGAUCAAACCCUCACCUCUGCAGCAACCCAAGCUGCUGCAGUUAGAUUUUUAACCCACUGCACCACAGCUGGAACUCUGGGGAAGUUCUCUUUAAUAGUUCCUCACUUUCUUCCUUGAUCCAAAAAGAAAAAUAUUUGUAUUCGGAAAGUUCUCUUCUGCUAAGAAGUUUCUAUUAACAUCUCUUUCUCCUUUCAGUGAAGUCUGUUUCUGGGUCAAGGGGAGUGUUUUAAGAAACAGAAAAAUAGAGACACACACAUAACUGCAAUAGGUAGCUGAACUUCAUCAGGAGCCUUGAGUAGCCAAGAAAACAUUCUUCUGAUGCAACUUCAGAGUUUCAUCCCCUGCUCCAAAAUUUAUCAUGUAAUUAGUACCCAAAAUGCCUCCUUUAACCAACACCCAUUGCAACCUAUGGAAAAGAUGUAGCAUUUUUUUUUUGAAAUUCUAGAUGGACCUAAGGAUUACCUGACUCCUAUUGCCAUCACCUCUUAAUCACACAAAACUGUUUUCCUAAACACCAACCUUUUUCCCUAUAAAAACCACUGACCCCUCAGUAUACCUAGUACCUUUUUUCCUCCCUUUAAAUUAUUAUUCCUUACUCUUUUCCGUUCUGGGGCCCUGAGCCAGAUUCUCAGAAUUAAUCCUGAGUUCUCCCAAAUGCCAUGACAAGUUAGAAGGGAAAUUGGGGGACUGCACUGAAAAUACAUGGUAUAGAGAGUAAAUGUUACAGCUGUUGACAAGUGGCAGUUUGGGGUAUCAGCAAUGAAUUCCACAUUUUUCUAUAGGCUUCUUUUUACUUCACUUUAGGAUCCACUGAUCCUAAUAGAAACAAGUUAAAACUGCAGUUCCCUUCGUGGCGCAGUGGUUAACGAAUCCGACUAGUAACCAUGAGGUUGUGGGUUUGAUCCCUGGCCUUGCUCAGUGGGUUAAGGAUCCGGCGUUGCUGUGAGCUGUGGUGUAGGCCGGUGGCUGCAGCUCCGAUUAGACCCCUAGCUUGGGAAUCUCCAUAUGCCCCUGGAGCAGCCAUAGAAAAGGCAAAAAGACCAAAAAAAAAAAAAAAAAAAAAAAAAAAA